rnacentral:rRNA from 1 species
UACGUAGGUGGCAAGCGUUGUCCGGAAUUAUUGGGCGUAAAGGGCGCGUAGGCGGCUGAACAAGUCAAAGGUGAAAUCCCUCGGCUCAACUGAGGAACUGCCUUUGAAACUGUUCGGCUUGAGGCCGGGAGGGGGUAGCGGAAUUCCCAGUGUAGCGGUGAAAUGCGUAGAUAUUGGGAGGAACACCAGUGGCGAAGGCGGCUACCUGGACCGGUUCUGACGCUGAGGCGCGAAAGCGUGGGUAGCAAACAGG